rnacentral:rRNA from 1 species
AGGACGAACGCUGGCGGCGUGCCUAACACAUGCAAGUCGAACGGAGCCCGCAAGGGUUCAGUGGCGAACGGGUGCGUAACACGUGAGGAACUUGUCCAUCGGCGGGGGAUAGCCGGCCCAACGGCCGGGUAAUACCGCGUACGCCGUCCGGAGCGCAUGCUCUGGCCGGGAAAGCAGCAAUGCACCGAUGGAGAGCCUCGCGGCCUAUCAGCUAGUUGGUGGGGUAAUGGCCUACCAAGGCGACGACGGGUAGCUGGUCUGAGAGGAUGACCAGCCACAUUGGGACUGAGACACGGCCCAGACUCCUACGGGAGGCAGCAGUGGGGAAUAUUGCGCAAUGGGCGAAAGCCUGACGCAGCGACGCCGCGUGUGGAUGACGGCCUUCGGGUUGUAACCACUGUCGCGAGGGACGAAGAUCUGACGGUACCUCGAAAGGAAGCACCGGCUAACUCUGCGCCAGCAGCCGC